GGGUUGUGAGGUUAAGCGACUAAGCGUACACGGUGGAUGCCCUGGCAGUCAGAGGCGAUGAAGGACGUGCUAAUCUGCGAUAAGCGUCGGUAAGGUGAUAUGAACCGUUAUAACCGGCGAUUUCCGAAUGGGGAAACCCAGUGUGUUUCGACACACUAUCAUUAACUGAAUCCAUAGGUUAAUGAGGCGAACCGGGGGAACUGAAACAUCUAAGUACCCCGAGGAAAAGAAAUCAACCGAGAUUCCCCCAGUAGCGGCGAGCGAACGGGGAGGAGCCCAGAGCCUGAAUCAGUGUGUGUGUUAGUGGAAGCGUCUGGAAAGGCGCGCGAUACAGGGUGACAGCCCCGUACACAAAAAUGCACAUGCUGUGAGCUCGAUGAGUAGGGCGGGACACGUGGUAUCCUGUCUGAAUAUGGGGGGACCAUCCUCCAAGGCUAAAUACUCCUGACUGACCGAUAGUGAACCAGUACCGUGAGGGAAAGGCGAAAAGAACCCCGGCGAGGGGAGUGAAAAAGAACCUGAAACCGUGUACGUACAAGCAGUGGGAGCACAGAGCAAUCUGUGUGACUGCGUACCUUUUGUAUAAUGGGUCAGCGACUUAUAUUCUGUAGCAAGGUUAACCGAAUAGGGGAGCCGAAGGGAAACCGAGUCUUAACUGGGCGUUAAGUUGCAGGGUAUAGACCCGAAACCCGGUGAUCUAGCCAUGGGCAGGUUGAAGGUUGGGUAACACUAACUGGAGGACCGAACCGACUAAUGUUGAAAAAUUAGCGGAUGACUUGUGGCUGGGGGUGAAAGGCCAAUCAAACCGGGAGAUAGCUGGUUCUCCCCGAAAGCUAUUUAGGUAGCGCCUCGUGAAUUCAUCUCCGGGGGUAGAGCACUGUUUCGGCAAGGGGGUCAUCCCGACUUACCAACCCGAUGCAAACUGCGAAUACCGGAGAAUGUUAUCACGGGAGACACACGGCGGGUGCUAACGUCCGUCGUGAAGAGGGAAACAACCCAGACCGCCAGCUAAGGUCCCAAAGUCAUGGUUAAGUGGGAAACGAUGUGGGAAGGCCCAGACAGCCAGGAUGUUGGCUUAGAAGCAGCCAUCAUUUAAAGAAAGCGUAAUAGCUCACUGGUCGAGUCGGCCUGCGCGGAAGAUGUAACGGGGCUAAACCAUGCACCGAAGCUGCGGCAGCGACGCUGAUGCGUUGUUGGGUAGGGGAGCGUUCUGUAAGCCUGUGAAGGUGUGCUGUGAGGCAUGCUGGAGGUAUCAGAAGUGCGAAUGCUGACAUAAGUAACGAUAAAGCGGGUGAAAAGCCCGCUCGCCGGAAGACCAAGGGUUCCUGUCCAACGUUAAUCGGGGCAGGGUGAGUCGACCCCUAAGGCGAGGCCGAAAGGCGUAGUCGAUGGGAAACAGGUUAAUAUUCCUGUACUUGGUGUUACUGCGAAGGGGGGACGGAGAAGGCUAUGUUGGCCGGGCGACGGUUGUCCCGGUUUAAGCGUGUAGGCUGGUUUUCCAGGCAAAUCCGGAAAACUAAGGCUGAGGCGUGAUGACGAGGCACUACGGUGCUGAAGCAACAAAUGCCCUGCUUCCAGGAAAAGCCUCUAAGCAUCAGGUAACAUCAAAUCGUACCCCAAACCGACACAGGUGGUCAGGUAGAGAAUACCAAGGCGCUUGAGAGAACUCGGGUGAAGGAACUAGGCAAAAUGGUGCCGUAACUUCGGGAGAAGGCACGCUGAUAUGUAGGUGAAGUCCCUCGCGGAUGGAGCUGAAAUCAGUCGAAGAUACCAGCUGGCUGCAACUGUUUAUUAAAAACACAGCACUGUGCAAACACGAAAGUGGACGUAUACGGUGUGACGCCUGCCCGGUGCCGGAAGGUUAAUUGAUGGGGUCAGCGCAAGCGAAGCUCUUGAUCGAAGCCCCGGUAAACGGCGGCCGUAACUAUAACGGUCCUAAGGUAGCGAAAUUCCUUGUCGGGUAAGUUCCGACCUGCACGAAUGGCGUAAUGAUGGCCAGGCUGUCUCCACCCGAGACUCAGUGAAAUUGAACUCGCUGUGAAGAUGCAGUGUACCCGCGGCAAGACGGAAAGACCCCGUGAACCUUUACUAUAGCUUGACACUGAACAUUGAGCCUUGAUGUGUAGGAUAGGUGGGAGGCUUUGAAGUGUGGACGCCAGUCUGCAUGGAGCCGACCUUGAAAUACCACCCUUUAAUGUUUGAUGUUCUAACGUUGACCCGUAAUCCGGGUUGCGGACAGUGUCUGGUGGGUAGUUUGACUGGGGCGGUCUCCUCCUAAAGAGUAACGGAGGAGCACGAAGGUUGGCUAAUCCUGGUCGGACAUCAGGAGGUUAGUGCAAUGGCAUAAGCCAGCUUGACUGCGAGCGUGACGGCGCGAGCAGGUGCGAAAGCAGGUCAUAGUGAUCCGGUGGUUCUGAAUGGAAGGGCCAUCGCUCAACGGAUAAAAGGUACUCCGGGGAUAACAGGCUGAUACCGCCCAAGAGUUCAUAUCGACGGCGGUGUUUGGCACCUCGAUGUCGGCUCAUCACAUCCUGGGGCUGAAGUAGGUCCCAAGGGUAUGGCUGUUCGCCAUUUAAAGUGGUACGCGAGCUGGGUUUAGAACGUCGUGAGACAGUUCGGUCCCUAUCUGCCGUGGGCGCUGGAGAACUGAGGGGGGCUGCUCCUAGUACGAGAGGACCGGAGUGGACGCAUCACUGGUGUUCGGGUUGUCAUGCCAAUGGCACUGCCCGGUAGCUAAAUGCGGAAGAGAUAAGUGCUGAAAGCAUCUAAGCACGAAACUUGCCCCGAGAUGAGUUCUCCCUGACUCCUUGAGAGUCCUGAAGGAACGUUGAAGACGACGACGUUGAUAGGCCGGGUGUGUAAGCGCAGCGAUGCGUUGAGCUAACCGGUACUAAUGAACCGUGAGGCUUAACCUUACAACGCCGAAGGUGUUU
rnacentral:rRNA from 1 species